UUCUAGCGUCUUCUCCGCCAAGAGCUUCUUCCUCUCUUCAAUGGCGAUUUGUUCUUCUUAUUCGAACGGUUAAAUCCGUCUGUCUCUAUUCUAUAUUUAUGCUUAGAAUAUAGAAUAUAUUUAUGCAGUAAACUGUCUAGCAAAUCUGAUCAGAAUUUGCCAUGUUUGCAUCCGCUACAAAGUUUCUACAGAAGCUCUAGAGCAAUAUAUUAUGCUCGUGUUUUGGUUCAAGUCUUGGUGAAAACGUUUCCGCGGAAAAUAUCCUCAAGGUAUUGAAGUUUAUCAGAAACUAGUUGGAUCGGUUUAUGGAUGGUGUAUGUUUCUUUUCAAGAAUUUCAAAGAUACAGAACCAUGAGCGCGGGAGACUUUGUGGUCCUCCAUGGUUAAAAAUAUGAUACUCAUUAAUGAUCCAACGUCUGACAUCACUGUUUCUGAUAUUAAAUAAGACAGUGCAGGGGAUCUUCUUAGUUGUUCAUAUGCGGUACUUGACAAGACAAACUCGAUUGACGGAACAGUUCCAGAAGAAGUUAUGUUUCAGAGUGAGGUGAAGAAGUUACAACAGGAGCAGUUCAGGCCAGCAGAGCAAGUUUCAAUUUCAUCACAAGAGAUGCUGCAGUACAUCGUCUUGGAGUGAAA